UGGGAUAAAUGAUGAAUAUAUUCUUGAACUCUCUAACUGAUUUGUUGAUGACAGACAGAAUUCUGAUUUAUCCCA